UACAACUCUUAUCGAUAAGCCAUUGGAGGGCAAGUCUGGUGCCAGCAGCCGCGGUAAUUCCAGCUCCAAUAGCGUAUAUUAACGUUGUUGCAGUUAAAAAGCUCGUAGUUGAAGUGUGGGUGAUCGCUGUUGUGAGACUUCGGUCUCUCGACAGUAAGUCACCCCCUUCCAGUAUCCAGUAGUGGGUAUUCAGUUACUUACUACUGUGUGUUGGUCGUUUACUGUGAGAAAAUUAGAGUGUUCAAAGCAGGCGUUUGCUUGAAUAGAUUAGCAUGGAAUAAUAAUUGAAGGCUUUCGUGUUCGAUUUGAUUGGUUUGUUCAUGGAAGCAAGGUUAAAAGGAACAGUUGGGGGUAUUCAUAUUCACUAGUUAGAGGUGAAAUUCUCGGAUUUAUGGAAGAUGAAC
rnacentral:rRNA from 1 species